GGCGAUUCGAAGAUUCCUUUGGAGUGGAUCCAUAUAAUGUGUUAAUGGUACUUCUUUGUCUGCUCUGCAUCGUGGUUUUAGUGGCUACCGAGCUGUGGACAUAUGUACGUUGGUACACUCAGUUGAGACGUGUUUUAAUCAUCAGCUUUCUGUUCAGUUUGGGAUGGAAUUGGAUGUAUUUAUAUAAGCUAGCUUUUGCACAGCAUCAGGCUGAAGUCGCCAAGAUGGAGCCAUUAAACAAUGUGUGUGCCGAGAAGAUGGACUGGACUGGAAGUAUCUGGGAAUGGUUUAGAAGUUCAUGGACCUAUAAGGAUGACCCAUGCCAAAAAUACUAUGAGCUCUUACUAGUCAACCCUAUUUGGUUGGUCCCACCAACAAAGGCACUUGCAGUUACAUUCACCACAUUUGUAACGGAGCCAUUGAAGCAUAUUGGAAAAGGAACUGGGGAAUUUAUUAAAGCACUCAUGAAGGAAAUUCCAGCGCUGCUUCAUCUUCCAGUGCUGAUAAUUAUGGCAUUAGCCAUCCUGGUAAAGUAAUCUCACAAGCUGCCAAAGAACACAUCCCAAGUAGUAAUCACAGAUGAUGAAGCACCUUACAGGACACCUCCACCCUCAAACACGCAUGUCCAGAGAAGUAUUAAUGCCUUAAUAGACUACUGAAGGCUAACUAUUUACAUCAUUCUAAAAAUAUUUUAAGCUGUAUUACAGUGCUAUAAAUUCUCCUUUUAAGGAAAAAAGUAAUAGAUUGUUUCC
rnacentral:sRNA from 1 species